rnacentral:rRNA from 1 species
UACGGAGGUGGCAAGCGUUGUUCGGAAUUACUGGGCGUAAAGGGCGCGUAGGCGGGGAGGCAAGUCGGGUGUGAAAGCCCUCGGCUCAACCGAGGAACGGCGCCCGAAACUGCUUCUCUUGAGUCCCGGAGAGGAAGGUGGAAUUCCCGGUGUAGCGGUGAAAUGUGUAGAGAUCGGGAGGAACACCGGUGGCGAAGGCGGCCUUCUGGACGGUGACUGACGCUGAGGCGCGAAAGCGUGGGGAGCAAACGGG